rnacentral:pre_miRNA from 1 species
AGAAAUUAUUAUGAAAUUUAUCGUAACGUAAAUGAUAAAUUUCACAAUAUUUUCUGG